rnacentral:rRNA from 1 species
UCGAGGAUUUUUCUCAAUGGGGGAAACCCUGAAGGAGCGACGCCGCGUGAGGGAUGAAGGUCUUCGGAUUGUAAACCUCUGUCAUCUGGGAACAAUGCUGUUCACCUAAUACGUGAACAGUUGAUAGUACCGGAAGAGGAAGCAGUGGCUAACUCUGUGCCAGCAGCCGCGGUAAUACAGAGACUGCAAGCGUUGUUCGGAUUCAUUGGGCGUAAAGGGUCCGCAGGCGGUCGGUUAAGUCGGAUGUGAAAUCUCACAGCCUAACUGUGAUAGGUCAUUCGAAACUAGCCGGCUCGAGGGGUGGAGAGGAGACUGGAAUUGCUGGUGUAGCAGUGAAAUGCGUAGAUAUCAGCAAGAACACCGGUGGCGAAGGCGAGUCUCUAGACACUUCCUGACGCUCAGGGACGAAAGCCAGGGGAGCAAACGGG